rnacentral:rRNA from 1 species
CCUACGGGAGGCAGCAGUGGGGGAUAUUGCACAAUGGGGGAAACCCUGAUGCAGCGACGCCGCGUGUGGGAAGACGGUCCUCUGGAUUGUAAACCACUGUCCCCAGGGACGAAGAUGACGGUACCGGGGGAGGAAGCGCCGGCCAACUACGUGCCAGCAGCCGCGGUAAGACGUAGGGAGCGAGCGUUGUCCGGAAUUACUGGGUGUAAAGGGAGCGUAGGCGGGGAUGCAAGUUGGGUGUCAAAACUACCGGCUCAACUGGUAGUCGCACUCAAAACUGCAGCUCUUGAGUGAAGUAGAGGCAGGCGGAAUUCCUAGUGUAGCGGUGAACUGCGUAGAUAUUAGGCGGCACCCCAGUGGCGAAGGCGGCCUGCUGGGCUUUUACUGACGCUGAGGCUCG